GAUGAACGCUGGCGGCGUGCCUAAUACAUGCAAGUCGAGCGAACGGACGAGAAGCUUGCUUAUCUGAUGUUAGCGGCGGACGGGUGAGUAACACGUGGAUAACCUACCUAUAAGACUGGGAUAACUUCGGGAAACCGGAGCUAAUACCGGAUAAUAUUUUGAACCGCAUGGUUCACAAGUGAAAGACGGUCUUGCUGUCACUUAUAGAUGGAUCCGCGCUGCAUUAGCUAGUUGGUAAGGUAACGGCUUACCAAGGCAACGAUGCAUAGCCGACCUGAGAGGGUGAUCGGCCACACUGGAACUGAGACACGGUCCAGACUCCUACGGGAGGCAGCAGUAGGGAAUCUUCCGCAAUGGGCGAAAGCCUGACGGAGCAACGCCGCGUGAGUGAUGAAGGUCUUCGGAUCGUAAAUCUCUGUUAUUAGGGAAGAACAUAUGUGUAAGUAACUGUGCACAUCUUGACGGUACCUAAUCAGAAAGCCACGGCUAACUACGUG
rnacentral:rRNA from 1 species